rnacentral:rRNA from 1 species
UAGUCCACGCCGUAAACGAUGGAAGCUAGCUGUCAGAAUGUAUACAUUUUGGUGGCGCAGCUAACGCAUUAAGCUUCCCGCCUGGGGAGUACGGUCGCAAGAUUAAAACUCAAAGGAAUUGACGGGGGGCCCGCACAAGCGGUGGAGCAUGUGGUUUAAUUCGAUGCAACGCGAAGAACCUUACCAUCCCUUGACAUCCUCAGAAUGAUCUGUAAUCGAUCAGUGCCUUCGGGAACUGAGUGACAGGUGCUGCACGGCUGUCGUCAGCUCGUGUCGUGAGAUGUUGGGUUAAGUCCCGCAACGAGCGCAACCCCUAUCUAUAGUUGCCAGCACGUAAUGGUGGGAACUCUAUAGAGACUGCCGGUGAUAAGCCGGAGGAAGGU